AAUAGAUACCCGGGUAGUCCACGCCGUAAACGAUGAGUGCUAAGUGUUAGAGGGUUUCCGCCCGUUUAGUGCUGCAGCUAACGCAUUAAGCACUCCGCCUGGGGAGUACGGUCGCAAGACUGAAACUCAAAGGAAUUGACGGGGGCCCGCACAAGCGGUGGAGCAUGUGGUUUAAUUCGAAGCAACGCGAAGAACCUUACCAGGUCUUGACAUCCUCUGACAACUCUAGAGAUAGAGCGUUCCCCUUCGGGGGACAGAGUGACAGGUGGUGCAUGGUUGUCGUCAGCUCGUGUCGUGAGAUGUUGGGUUAAGUCCCGCAACGAGCGCAACCCUUGAUCUUAGUUGCCAGCAUUUAGUUGGGCACUCUAAGGUGACUGCCGGUGACAAACCGGAGGAAGGUGGGGAUGACGUCAAAUCAUCAUACCCCUUAUGACCUGGGCUACACACGUGCUACAAUGGAUGGUACAAAGGGCUGCAAGACCGCGAGGUCAAGCCAAUCCCAUAAAACCAUUCUCAGUUCGGA
rnacentral:rRNA from 1 species